rnacentral:rRNA from 1 species
CCUACGGGAGGCAGCAGUGAGGAAUAUUGGACAAUGGAGGCAACUCUGAUCCAGCCAUGCCGCGUGUAGGAAGACUGCCCUAUGGGUUGUAAACUACUUUUAUAUGGGAAGAAUAAGAUCUACGUGUAGAUUGAUGACGGUACCAUAAGAAUAAGCACCGGCUAACUCCGUGCCAGCAGCCGCGGUAAUA